UACAGAGGGUGCGAGCGUUGUUCGGAAUUAUUGGGCGUAAAGGGCGCGUAGGCGGCGCCACAAGUCACCUGUGAAAACUCUGGGCUCAACCCAGAGCCUGCAGGCGAAACUGUGGUGCUGGAGUAUGGGAGAGGUGCGUGGAAUUCCCGGUGUAGCGGUGAAAUGCGUAGAUAGUCGGGAGGAACACCUGUGGCGAAAGCGGCGCACUGGACCAUAACUGACGCUGGAGGCGCGAAAGCUAGGGGAGCAAACAGG
rnacentral:rRNA from 1 species